UGUCAGUUAUCUUUGUUCAUACACAUCUGCUAAGAAGUCACAGGGAGAGUUUGAGCUUCAUGAACGAGUUUUAAAGAAAGGUAAAGAGCAACCACUGCAGGACAGAGUCAAAGUAAGACAGUUUAGAGACAACCACAGGAGGAGUAAGCAUCUGAGAAUCUGACAACUACACAUUGCUCAAAAUUAACAUUUCUAUAAGGGCCUGAUUUACUAAGGUUUUCACUGAGAAUGGCAUUGCACAAUAUAAAAUAUUGAUCUGCCCUCAUUUAUGCAGUGAUCCUCUGCAAAACGCACAUGUACUCCAGUUCUUAUAGGGCUUGCUUUACUGAUUUGCUUUUUUUCAAAAACAGGUUUUUUGACCGUGUGCAGUCACUCGAUCACCAGGGCUCUAAAUUAUACUUUCCGAAUGUGAUACAACAGAUUGAGCCAGCACGUAAUUGUAACCCCUUCGGUGCCGCGCACGCAAGUCUUCAUUCAUGAACUGAGGGUGUUAAAAGUGCUGAUUCAUCCACUAAAUCAUCAGAAAUUAAGGAAACUUUACAUGCCGCUAGAUAUUGAUAUCUAAGGGUGGGAUAUGCGUGUAAGGAAAAGUUUGUGUGCUCCCGCGUGUACGCACUGGUGCGAAUCCGCAUUCGUGUAUAAAACCAGGCGUUGAAGUUCUGCAGUGUGGGACAAAGAGAGGGGGACAUUUAGACAAUUUCAAUUUUGCCCUCACUUUGGAUGUGUGGAUGGACAUGCAUGAGGAUGCACAAAUCGGAUCCUUAGGUGAGAAGAUAUCACAUCUCAAAUAUGCAGUUAUUUUCUAGAUGGGCACAAUCAGCAUAAUCACAUAUUAAUCAUAAUUAAUAAUUAAUAAUUUUAUAUAAUAAUAUAUAAUUUAAUUUAAUUUAUAUUAAUAAUCACAUAGUCAUAUUUUGGUUAGAGGUGGAUAACCACUUGUCAAUGAUUACCGGUGUGUUUGUGAUCCUGUCUCCUCCUCACCACAUAGGAAUCAGACUAAGUAAAAACUGUCUACAGUCUUAGCAGAUUGCUAAGCAUAAGAUAAACUAACAAGUUAAAUUUUUUGCCCCAAUAUUUAAACACAAGGAUAAAAUAACACCCUAUAUUUUAUAUUCAUUCAUGUAAACAUACUAAAUGGACAUCCCAUGAUGCAUUGCACAUUUAUAAAAUACAUCCUCAGUGUGCAGAGUAAGUAGAUCAGCUUGCAAAUUUUGUUUUGUUUGUUUGUUUUUGUGAAGGUGUUUUGACAUUUAUGCACAUUUUUGAACAUGCAAACCUGUACUUAAUUAGGCCCUGCAUCUGGCUCUGCUGGUUUUCAUCCUGUCCCUAUCAUCUGCCUCCUGCAUGUAUCCUGAGACUAGACUCGCCGGCCAAUCACAAGAAAGGUCUUGUAUCUUGGGGUUUACAUUGAAGCUGAUUUCUGCUGUGUUGGCUAUAAAAAGGUUAAUAAAAUGGUUGGAGUACAAAAUUGUCUCAACAAAUGACCUUUUUCUCUGUCAGUACUUAAUUUGAUAUGUGAUGAGACAGUGUUGUAGUUGUAGAAUAUACAGUAUAUAUGCUAUAUCAUCUUCUUGUGUGUUUGGCAGUACACCCCAGAGCUCAACCUAAAAUAUGAGGCCAAAGCACAAAGUCAGUGUCACGAAACAUAUCACACCAUUGUGGAACAAAUGAAGGGAAGCCUGGAAAAAUGUAUAUCUUCAUAUAAUUACUUUUUAGGUUAAUUCUUACAGCUCUUCCUAAAUUAUUAAUCCCUGUGUAAUAUCCUCCUCAGCAGCAGAGAUUUAUGUUUGUAUUUGUAUUGUUUCUGAACCAAAAAUACUAAUUACUUCUGUUCAUUUUUAAUCUGCUCUAGAGGCAGGGGAGGAGUUUUCAUUUUUCUGGGACACACGUACACACAAAUAAAAAAAAUUAAAAAAAGGCAGUGAGACACACAAAACAUGUAGGGCAUACUCUCACAAUCAUCUCCGCCUUUCACUGAAAGAGACACCACGUGUUUACCUUAUGCAGGAAUUUUUAAUUUCCCUUUCAUAAGCCAGUCGUCAGUGACGGCUGAAAUAAAUGAAUUUAUGGCCCCCUCAUUUAAACACAAGGACACAGAGUCAUUGAGUGAGCCAUGUGUAAACACAAAACCUACUUCUUCUGAGGUUUGAGAAUUUAAGUCUAUCUAUCUAUCUAUCUAUCUAUCUAUCUAUCUAUCUAUCUAUCUAUCUAUCUAUCUAUCUAUCCAUCCAUCCAUCCAUCCAUCCAUCCAUCCAUCCAUCCAUCCAUCCAUCUUUUUUAUUCAUAUCCUGUUGUCUCCUUCUGUCACUCAUACACUCACAAAUCACAGAUACAUUUGUGCCUGCAGGCUUGUGCUGGAGUGGUUGUGUGUUUCAGAAAGUAAACUCAUGCGGUCCCAUAUGUAAUCACUCAAUGCAUGUACAGGAGUGUGUCACAUAGACAAAUAACUACAUUACCACCUAGAGAGGAGGGAGGGGAGCAGUUAGACGGAGCAACUCUGAUCAAGGAGCAAGCAGCAGUUUUAUAUGUGCACUAAUGUUUUCAUCUGCACAGUGUGUAAGCAGAGGACAGCAAGUAAAUAUGUUUUUCAGCCCAAGGUACAGUAGGUGUAAACACACCUUUAGUUUUAAGUUCAAACAAGUCCCACUACAGGGAGAAGAAUCAGCAUAAUGAGUUAAACAGAAACCUGGAAACUGAGGAGAGGAUCUGGAUGAUAAUACUGUCCUAACAAGCGUCACUGUAUUACAGGCUUAAAUCACUGCUGCUUCUGGAAGGUUCUUCAGAAAUUCUUGUGUGGUGAUGUCUCUUUGUAAGCUUUACAUACACCAGCUGCAACAUGAGUCAUGGGCGUGGUAGUGGGGGGAAAAGUGAACCUGACUACCCAGGGCCUGAAUAGGGAGUGGGGCCCAUGAAAAUCAACAGCGACCGACGUCAGUGAGCCCAGAUUGAAUGACCUGGGGGUUAAACAUCAUGCUGACCAAAAAGCAUAAAUCGUGGUAUAAAAGGAGAAAGAGAGGAAAGAAAAAGAAAGAAGGCAGAAUGAGGGGAGGCAGCUGUUGACUGCUUUCUUUCCCAAAGGUGAACCCAGUUUGCUUGUUCUGCAAAGUCUAAUUAAAGUUAAUGUAGUCCACUCCAGACAGCUGCUGCUGAUGUUUGUAGGCUCACGUGAAGUUUUCACCUUGGCUAGUUACUAACCAGACUGCUUGCUGCUGUAAGUAUAAAGACAAUUAUGGGCCAGCUAACAUUAGUUGUCAACAUUAACCAGUUUCAGAAACAAAGAGUGACGCUGAAGCAGCCCCAGCUAAAGUGCACACUCGUAAUAUAUUCAUUGAGCAAUUAAGCAGUUUAUCAUUUUUGUCUGGUAAAAGGCCUUAACAUUGUAGGACAGUGAUGUGCUUAAAAGCUAUUGUCAAUGCAAAAUAAAUUCAUGAGAGAGAGAGAGAGAGAGAGAGAGAGAGAGAGAGAGAGAGAGAGAGAGCGAGAGAGAGAGAGAGAGAGGUGGAUGGUGAGAACAUAGAAAAACAAUUAGCUAUUUGAACCACUCAUCAAUAUAAUCUGAUCUGAUUGAAUCUUAAAACCCUAUUCAUGCUUUUUUUUUUUUUUUUGCUCAUUUGCUCCAUGCGCUGGCACGGAUAGGGACCAACUGGCACUGACAGUGUACAGGGCCCAGAAUUUGGUGCUACGCCCCUGACAGUAGAGUUUUUCAUCUCAAGAGCGAAGGCAUGUUACUAGAGUUUAUGGCAGACUUAUCCUCAAUUCUCUCUCUACUGCCUCUUUGAGGGAUUUCAUGACUCUCCCUUUUUUACUGCUCUGGUGAUGCCGAGCAGUGUUAAAAUGAGGGAUUGGGAUCAUGUCUCGACAUUUUAUUUACUUUUUCCUAAUUCUUGUUUGACUGAUUUUUCAAUAACAGGGCUUCAUUUAAAGUCUGGUUGUGUUAACCUCAGCUGCUUUGGGUGUAGAGGAGGAUGACAGCUCUGCAACAGCUGCUGCAGUUGAGGAAGUUGUUUUAAGUCACAAAAAGUCAAAGUUUCUGUGGGUACUUUGUCUUGAUUUGAUGCACAGUGCUGAUGUGUCUGACUGCCAUAAACUCCAUAUCACUUCAUCCCUUUAGCUUUAGAAUCAUGUAGCAUCACUGUGGACCUCCUCACAUUUUCAUCUAUCAUCACAACUGACCACCAGAGUAGUGAUGGGAAUUAUGACUCUUUUUAGUGAGACAGAUCAUUCGGCUCAGCUCACCAAGAAGAGCGAAACCACCAACAGAGCCUGAGUGCUUAUUCGGCUCCAAAACGGCUCUUCAUUUUACCACUUUUACGUUUUCUGAUUCAGCCAAAUUUAGCGUUGUUUGUCUUAUGAUAUGUAUGUAUGUGUACACAUACCUCUUAAAUAAUUCAAUACAUUCUUUGUACUGAAGUAUUCACAAGUAAAAAUUACAUUUCCUAAUGUAGCCAUCCUGAGCGUGUCCGUCUAAUGAACACAAGCACAUACGUCAAAGAGCCGGCUCUUUGACGUGAACUGUCUGAACCUCGUUCACAACUGACACAACUCAACAUCAGAUGCCUAUCAAUUUGUGCACACCACUGAUUUCAUUAACAUGAUUUUGCUAAACUUUAAGUACAAUUUUACAUCCUGGAACCCUUAGACCUGAUAGCAGACCUGAUAAGAUCAAAACAUUCUUGAUACUUUGUUUUUUUGCUUCAUCUGAUAUUUAAUUGACCUGGUUAUUGAUCCCCAUCCCAAAUGAAGACCUUGCAAGUACAGCUUGCAUUAAAACUAGUGCUGCAACUAACGAUUAUUUUUGUUGUCGACUAAUCUAUCGAUUGUUUUUUCGAUUAAUCACGACUAUCUUCUUUAUUUAGAAAAACCCAUUUUAGACUUCUGUUUAACGUAACUUACUUAAACCUUAAAUCCUGUUGUACUCUGAUAGCAUGUUUUUGAACAAAUAUAUAAAAAAUAAUGACAUAAAACAUUUACCUGCAAUAUAGUUGAUAUAUUUUUCAAUGUAAAAUACCACUUUGACUACAACAAAAAUAAUUAAAUUGUACAAACUUAAAGUGCAAGGUAGUAAACAAAAACUCUUUAUCAAGAAGUAUAUCAAAAAAAGCUGCAGGUAGCCUGCCUUGCAGGUUGAGGAGGUAAUUAGGUUUAAACCAACCAAGGAGUUGCUUUUACUUAAAGCAAAUAAGCCCAUAAAGGUAAAAUACAUAAAUAAAACAAAAGAUCAAUUUUGUCAUUUUUUUUUUUUUCUUGUAAAGUCCCAACUGUCAAC